UGAAGACAGUGGUGAUGAAGACGAAGCUUGCGCCAACUUUGUGACGCAUGGCCAGACUUGCAACAACUGGAUUGUUGUUGAUGUUCCUGUUUUCAUUCAUCGUUCUAAGUAAUUUGUUUUAUUUAUUUUAAGAAAAUCCUUCUCUUAUGCCUAAGGGAGAAGUGAACAUUGUUGGGCAUUUUAUUAUUAUCAUCAAUAAAAUACGAUUUUAUUCAUCCACAUCUAUGAUGUUUUAUAUUUUCUUUUUGCUUUUUGCUUUUUCUGAAAAUGGUAAUCACAAAAAACAUAACAAAUAGUAAUCUUCCAUCUGCAUAAUAUUUGUUCACACUCCACUUCUCUAAAAUCAAAAUAUCAAAUGAUUAUGCAGGUUGGUUCUCAAACCCAUUGAAUACAAUGAUCCUACUCCCUCUCCAAACUUUGAUUUCCAUGUGUUUGAAGCUAAGGAAGAAAGUGAUGAUGAAGAAAUAUCUGAUGAAUUAUCUCGUUUGCUUAAGCACGAGGAAAAAGUCGUUCAGCCAUUUAAAGAACAAAUUAGUCAACUUGGGUUCCGAGGACGAUGUGAAAGAAGUCAAUAUUGGGUCUCAACUUUGUCUAGAAGCUAAGAAGGGGUUGAUUGAUCUUCUUCGAGAUUAUUCUGAUGUGUUUGCUUGGUCCUAUCAAGACAUGCCAGGGUUGGAUUCUGAGAUUGUGGAGAAUAGAUUGCCGUUGAAGCCAGAAUGUCCGCCAGUCAAGCAGAAGUUAAGAAGAACUCAUCCUGAUAUAGCAGUUAAGAUCAAAGAGGAAGUGCAGAAGCAGAUUGAUGCUGGUUUUCUUGUAACCUCUGAAUAUCCGCAGUGGGUGGCCAAUAUUGUGCAUGUUCCUAAGAAAGAUGGAAAAGUACGCAUCUGUGUUGAUUAUAGAGAUUUGAAUAAAGCUAGUCCAAAAGAUGAUUUUCCUCUGCCACACAUUGAUAUGUUGGUAGACAAUACAUCUAAAUUCAAAGUCUUUUCAUUUAUGGAUGGAUUUUCCAAUUAUAAUCAAAUCAAGAUGGCACCCGAAGAUAUGGAGAAGACCACAUUCAUUACACCCUGGAGAAUAUUCUGUUAUAGAGUGAUGCCUUUCGGUUUAAAGAAUGCUGAUGCAACGUACCAGAGAGCUAUGACCACUCUUUUUCAUGAUAUGAUGCAUAAAGAGAUUAAAAUUUAUGUUGAUGAUAUGAUUGCCAAGUCAAGUGAUGAAGAAGAGCAUGUUGAGCAUUAGUUAAAGUUAUUCCAGCGAUUGAGGAAGUACAAACUCCACUUGAAUCCCAAUAAGUGUACUUUUGGUGUUCGUUCUGGUAAGUUAUUGGACUUUAUUGUCAGUGAGAAGGGUAUUGAAGUUGAUCCUGCCAAGGUCAAAGCAAUACAAGAAAUGCCUGCGCCCAAAACUGAGAAGCAAGUCAGAGGAUUUCUCGGCCGCUUGAAUUAUAUCUCAAGAUUUAUAUCGCAUAUGACUGCCACAUGUGCGCCUAUUUUCAAGCUUCUUCAGAAAGAUCAGUCUUGUGAUUGGACCGAAGAUUACCAUAAAGCUUUUGAUAGUAUCAAAGAGUACUUGCUUGAGCCUCCUAUUUUGUCUCUGCUUGUUGAAGCAAGACCGUUGAUCAUGUAUUUGACUGUGUUGGAUGAUAGUAUGGAUUGUGUUCUUGGUCAGCAAGGUGAAUCGGGAAAGAAAGAAUAUGCAAUUUACUACCUCAGUAAGAAAUUCACCGACUGUGAGACUCGGUAUUCUAUGCUUGAAAAGACAUGUUGUGCAUUGACUUGGGCUGCUAAGCGUCUACGCCAAUAUAUGUUGAACCAUACCACUUGGUUGAUAUCCAAAAUGGAUCCAAUCAAGUAUAUCUUUGAGAAGCCUGCUUUAACUGGGAGGAUUUCCCGUUGGCAGAUGUUGUUAUCUGAGUAUGAUAUUGAAUAUCGAUCUCAGAAAGUUAUCAAGAGUAGUAUCUUAGCAGACCAAUUGGCUCACCAACCGAUUGAAGAUUACCAGUCAGUGCAGUAUGAUUUUCCUAACGAAGAGAUUUUGUACUUGAAAAUGAAAGAUUGUGAUGAACCGCUGCUUGAAGAAGGGCCAGAACCUGGUUCCCGUUGGGGCAUGGUAUUUGAUGGAGUUGUUAAUUCAUAUGUGUCAUACCCCAAUUUGGUCAGGGCAUUUCAAAAUUUUCAUAAAUUUGAUUUAAUUUUCAGUUUUCAUCAUAUCUACAGCAUAACACGCAUUUCAUCAUGAAUAACACAUAAAAUAUCAGUCGGAAUAAAUUCUUGAAAAUACAAACAAGUUGGUUAAAUCAUUCCUCAAGUACGGACAAAAUCAGCGGAUAAAAAAGUUUUGAAAUUAAACUUGCAGACGUCAGUAUUAUUAAUCUAUGGUUCACGUAGUUUAAUCUGGUGUGCUCGUUUUAUUUUUCGACGACUUUUUCAGUCGCAUUUUGAUCCAUCUGAGCCUUUUAACCGGUGAAAAUUUAUUUCAAAAUUUAAAGAAACGCUGUAUUUUUUCAAUAAGUAUAUUUCGUGCUGAUCAUUUUAGUGCGUCUGAUUUAAUUUUUUGAGCAAAUUUUUGCCCGACUUUUAUUCAUUUUUAGUCGUUUUAAUUUUACUCUUUUGCCAAAAUAUUCAGAUUAAAUAAAUAGAAUUUUCCAUGUCCUUAGUUUAUUUUUAUCACAUUAAUUUAAGGAGUUGUCAAUUUUAUUUGAUUUAAUUGAUUUAAAUGGUUUAAAUCAAUUAAAUCAUAUAGAAUGGGCGUUUUAGGCAUUUUAAAUUAUCUAACAACUUUUGUUUCUUUGUGUGUUUCCUUAAGUUAUAUUGGGAUCAUCGGUUCAAAUUUAUCAAUGACCCAUAAUGGCAAUCCUUCUCCAUUUCAUUUCAUCCAAUCAAAAAUAAAAUAAAAUUAAUUGAAUUAAAAAUGACAAAGAAAAUUAGAAAAUAAAAAUAUCUUGUUUCUCCCCAGUAAAGUUGAGCCACACGUCCGUUAUGGAUAAGGAUUAUAUUUUUUUUAACUAAAGAAAAUGAAAUACAACUCAAUAACCUCUGUCCACUAAUGAAUCUCUGUUGGUCUAACGGUAAGAAAGGAAAAAAAACAAAAAGGACAACUAGCCUCCACACUCUCUCAGAGACUCUCUCAUUUUCCAAUGGCUAUAGGUCACAGAAAAAUAAAAUAAAAAGGAAAAAGGGGAACACCGUUCAUGUUCUUUCCCACAACUCCAUUCACUCACGUAGAACGCCAAUCAACCACAAUAAGCCGCCGGAAAACAUUAACUCAUUACAAUCGCCGCCUCCAUAAAACCUCCUUCACACUCACCUCCGCUGCGAACCCGGACCACCGUCCCAUCCAACCUUCCGCCACGAAUCUAAUCCCCACCGUUAUCUUCCCACCAUCACAAAGUCCCCUCUCCAACUUCUCUGUCGCGGCUACAACACCACGACACCCCCCCGUUGCACCGUCGGUGGCAACCCCAAACCAUCCGCCGGCGAACCCUUAUCCGUCUGUCACCAAUUCCGACCACCGCAAAACCAUCUCACUUCGCUCAUUCCAUCUCCGUUCCUUCACCUGCGCAAACUAAGCGCCAUAGUCGCCCAACACACCUCUCCUUCUUCUUCUCUAAGUUCCGCCGGCAAACGAUUCUUCCGUUGGAAACACCAUCACCAUCAUAAAACUCUCCUCAUCAUGGAAUCACAGUCCAUUUCCUUCAUACACCCUCGCCGACAACGUCCAAAACAUUACUCCCUUUUACUACUUCAGAUCUACAAACUCAACCGUCGCCCGUGAAUCCUCCACCGCGACCCACCUUCAACUACCGCAUGAUCCUUUUUCCGACCGACCAACCCCAAGCUACACCAUUCAACAUCGUCAAACACAUGACGCCCAUCGCCGGCGGAAUAUUACAUCUACCUGCACCGUCAAGCCUCUCUCGUUACGGUAUUCUUGCGUCACCGUCAUUUUCCGUGUUUGGUUGGUUUUCCUGUCUUAUCUCUUUCUAUACUCGUUGUUCUAAUGAAUUUCAUGGAAUUGUAGCAUAUCUAUGAUGGUGUAUAUCGAUUAUGCCGGUUAUGUUUCAAUUUCAUCAUGUGACUUUUGUUGACUAUCAUGUUGUUGUGUUUGUUCAUAAGGAAGUUGGAAAAAGUAGCUAAGCACAUGCUUGUGUGGUUUAAUCUCUGUGUUUUUUUAUUAGGAUAUUAGAUUGUUGUGGAUCUUUUAAAUAUUGCAUGUAGUAAUAUAUUGAUUAAUUGGCCAAUAGAUUGUGAGAUAUUAAAAGUCUGUUACGGCUGAUUUUGGUUUGGUAUCUUGCCAAGAAUAUGUAAAUAAAAAGUUAAGUUAUAGCAUAUGAAUGGUGGUAAUCAUAAUUCUGAGUAGUAGUACAUAUAUUGUAAUUAUAUUUUGGUUAUAUCACAGUGUACAUAGAUUGUAAUUAUAAGUUGGUUAAAUUAUAGCAUAUGAACGGUGGUAGUCAUAAUUCUCAGUAGUAGUAUAUAUAUUGUAAUUAUAUUUUGGUUAUAUUACAGUGUACAUAGCUUGUAAUUAUAUUUUGGUUAUAUUAUAGCAUAUGAAUAGUAGUAAUCACAAUUCUGAGUUAAUUAAGUAUUAAUAUUUUAAUUGUAUUAACAAUUGAUUGCUAU
rnacentral:lncRNA from 1 species